rnacentral:miRNA from 9 species
ACGGGUUUCGCGAUUUGCGAACA